CCAAAUAUAUGCUGAGAUUUUAGAGAAGAAACACUCUCCCAAAGUUUAUUCAAGUGCCCACUUCUUCUACUUCAUCUUUAAAACCUUCGAUUCUUCAUAUAUUCCGAUAUAUACAAGGUUUUAAACCCCGAAGCUUCGUUCCACCCAACCAAGCCUCGCUCAUCUUAGCAUUUUCAUAAACCACUCUUUUCAACCUCCCGAAGGGCUGCCCAAAUUCGUUCGUGUGCUUAAAGUCGUAUCGAACCUCCGACGAAUUUCUCCGGCGAACUUUCGUGCAUCAAUCGUUGAGGUGAAGUGAAGUGAGGUGAUCUUCGUUCUAAGACCCAAGUCUUUGACGUAUUGACGGGGAGUUGAUAGUCAUCGCACCGUGAAGAAGAGGAAAGACCCAAGACCUAAUACCUAAGAUCCAAGACCGCCGAAAGGUUUAGAAGUACAAAGACCACUGGAGGUGCAACGACUUUGAGGAAGUAACGAGGAUAGUUACGUUCCGAGACAAGUCUUGUUAUUUACAUUUAUAGUGAGGAGGUAACGAAGAGUUACGCUCCAAGAUAUAUAUUUGUAAAGGCUUCUCCGCCUACUGUAAAGGAGUUCUUUAUAGUAGAGAAAAUCUCGAGUCCGGGGAGGAGCUCGGGGACUGGACUAGGGGUGAGUGGACUCCAAGGGUUGAGUUAGCCACCGCGAACCAGGAUAAAAUCGCUCGUGUGAUAUUUUCCUUUUCUUUUCUUACACUUCCGCACGUAACUGCCAAUACUCUCGAUACAAGUUCUAAAGAAGGGGUGAAAACUUUUUAAAACGACAUAAAUAUUUUUAAUUGGU